AGCGAACGUUAGCGGCGCGCCUAACACAUGCAAGUCGCACGAGAAAGGGAGCAAUCCCCGGUACAGUGGCGCACGGGUGAGUAACACGUAGAUGACCUUCCCUGGAGUGGUGGAUAACCUGCCGAAAGGCGGGCUAAUACAGCAUGGGACCACAUGGUUUUGACCGAGUGGUGAAAGCGGGCCUCUGUUCACAAGCUCGCGCUCUGGGAUGGGUCUGCGUCCCAUCAGCUAGUUGGUGAGGUAAUGGCUCACCAAGGCAUCGACGGGUAGCUGGUCUGAGAGGAUGACCAGCCACACUGGAACUGAGACACGGUCCAGACUCCUACGGGAGGCAGCAGUGGGGAAGUCUUGCGCAAUGGGCGAAAGCCUGACGCAGCGACGCCGCGUGGGUGAUGAAGGCCUCGUGU
rnacentral:rRNA from 1 species